rnacentral:rRNA from 1 species
UACGUAGGAGACAAGCGUUGUUCGGAAUUACUGGGUGUAAAGCGCGUGUAGGCGGUAGGCCAAGUCUGCUGUGAAAUCGCCCGGCUCAACUGGGCGCGGUCGGUGGAAACUGGUCAACUGGAGGACGGUAGAGGCGAGUGGAAUUCCCGGUGUAGUGGUGAAAUGCGUAGAGAUCGGGAGGAACACCAGUGGCGAAGGCGGCUCGCUGGGCCGGUCCUGACGCUGAGACGCGAAGGCGUGGGGAGCGAACGGG